UACAGAGGGUGCGAGCGUUAAUCGGAAUUACUGGGCGUAAAGCGCGCGUAGGCGGCUUUGCAAGUCGGGUGUGAAAUCCCCAGGCUUAACCUGGGAACUGCAUUCGAGACUGCAUUGCUAGAGUAUGGGAGAGGGAAGUGGAAUUUCCGGUGUAGCGGUGAAAUGCGUAGAUAUCUGGAGGAACACCGGUGGCGAAGGCGGCGUUCUGGACUGCAACUGACACUGAUAAACGAAAGCCAGGGUAGCAAACGGG
rnacentral:rRNA from 1 species